CAAAUUUCGAGGAACUAAAGGAUCGAUAGGCCACACUUUCAUGGUUUGUAUUCACACUGAAAAUCAAAAUCAAGGUAGCUUUUACCCUACUGAUGAAGUGUUGUUGCAAUAGUAAUUCAACUUAGUACGAGAGGAACCGUUGAUUCGGAUAUUUGGUUCAUGCACCUAUCCGACAGGAUAAUGGUGCGAAGCUACCAUCCGCUGGAUUAUGGCUGAACGCCUCUAAGUCAGAAUCCAUGCUAGAACGUGACGAUUUUUACCUGACCUAUAUAUUAGUUGUAUAAGAAUAGAGCUUUUGCUCCUAAAUCAUAUCAUGGGGUUUGGUGUUUGGACGGAAGGGUCUUUUUACCUACCUCUGGAUCAUAAUUUUAAUAUUAGGUUAGAUAAAUCCUUUGCAGACGACUUAAAUAUAGAACUAGGUAUUGUAAGCAGUAGAGUAGCCUUAGUGCUACGAUCUGCUGAGAUUAAGCCUGUGUUUUAAGAUUUGU
rnacentral:ncRNA from 1 species